GGGCAGUGUACCCGCAAUCAUCAUUCCAGAGCUCAUGCUGUGUCAGGGCCAGAUGCCUGCUGCUGCCACAGCUGUAUUUCAGGAAGCCCAGCCUGUGAGGAUGCCGUCCCCCCUCCGCAGGAAGACGUCAGACAGGACACUUUCCAUCACCCUGCUUCCUGAUUCCAGGCAUCGAUGCUGAGCUGGACAGAAGGAAAACAGCCUUUUGGUGUCUGAGACAACAGCACAAAUGACAGGACUGGCCUUCUUUCCUGAAUGGGAAGAGGGUGGGGAGAAGAAUGCUGCAGUGACCCGAGCUUGUUGAUGCCCUGCCACAGGCACCCCAGGUGGCCUUGGGCAAGUCCCUUCUCUUGCCUCUCCACCUGUAAAGUGUAGGUUACUGGGGUCCCUUCACCUUAGACUUUCUUUGGUCAGAGCUACAGAAAGAGGUGGCUGUAGGGAGGACUUUCUGAAAAAGAGUAAAAAGGCUCUCCUUGCUCAGGAGGCUGAGGUAGGAGAAUCGCUUGAACCUGGGAGGCCGAGGUUGCAGUGAGCCAAGAUCGCAACGUUGUGCUCCAGCCUGGGCAACAAGAGCAAAACUCCAUCUCAAAAAAAAAAAAAAGAAAGAAAGAAAGAA
rnacentral:lncRNA from 1 species